GGCACGGAUCGAUCUACACCACGAACUGAUGAUCGUGGAUAUCUUUUGAAGGUCCCUUAAAACUGCACAAGUAUUUGACUUCUAGGGUAUCCACACGAAACUUCGAUCUGAUCAGAAGCUUCUUAAUCUUACUGAGGUGUUAGCUCUCUUGCAGAGAUCGCAUCUUAACAGUUGAAAAAUCUUCUUUUCUCUCAAGAUAAUUUUAGAGAAGAAGAAGAAAAUAGGAGGAUGAUGAACUCUAUGCUAGAGAUCAUGAGAAGAAUCUUUUCUUCUCUUUUUUUCC
rnacentral:lncRNA from 1 species